GGAUGUUGUCAACGUCUUUGAAAAACAGAUCUCCAAUAACCUAAACUUUAUAGCACCUCUUUCACCGCCAAUAUUUCGCGGCACCUCAAAAUUUUAAAUUUUCACUCAUAAUAUCCCCCAUCAUUUCGAAAUUCAUACAUUUAUAUUCUCUCUUUUCUGUUAUCCCACACAAACAUACACGCUGUCUGAGAGCGAGUGAGAGAGACAGCGAGAGAGUGAGAGAGAUCGGGAGAGAUUGGCAGAGACUGGGAGAGAUCUUCAGAUUAGACCAAUCCUUAAUCAAUCUACCCAGGAGCCCUUUCCGAUUAAUCAUGGUGAGAGAGCAAAAUAUCGAAACUUUCUACUCCAAAUUGCGCCAGUCUGCAUUAUCUUCAGCUUCCAACACUCCUUUACUUAUAUUCCCUUCGACCUCUGAUGUUGAUUCGCUUUGUGCUUUAAAGAUUAUUGGCCAUGUUCUUGAAUCUGAUUCGGUAAGGUAUGCGUGUUAUCCUGUUUCGACGUUUAAGGAGAUCCAUAAGUAUGCAGGGUCUAGUUUGAGUAGUGUGGAAGAGGGUGAGUUUGUUACGAUUUUGUUGAUUAAUUGGGGGUGUCAUAGGGAUUUGAGGAGGGUUCUUGAUGUGGGUCCGAUGGCACGGGUUUUUGUUGUGGAUAGUCAUAGGCCCAUUCAUUUGCAUAAUUUGAGUGAUUUGAAUGAGAGGGUUGUGGUGCUGUAUACAAGGGAUGAUGAGCAUCAGGCUGAUUUGGCGUAUGAUUUUGAUGUGUCGGCUUUGGCUAAUGCGGGUGAUUUGGAUAGUGAUGAUGAUAUUGAGGAGGAUGAGGAGAAUAGUGAUGAUGAGGAUGGGAGUGAUGGGGAGGAGGAAGAGGGGGGUGGGAAUAGGAAGAAGAGGAGGGUUUCGGAUGAAGGGGAGAAAGAUCCGGUUAAGCUUUAUAGGAAGUUGAAGAAAGAGUAUUAUUAUAUGGGUACUUUUCAUGGAAAGCCGUCUGGGUGUUUAAUGUAUGAAUUGUCUCAUCUUUCGAGAAAGAAUACUAAUGAGUUGCUGUGGUUGGCUUGUGUUGCUUUGACUGAUCAGUUUGUUCAUGAGAGGUUGACAAAUGAAAGAUACCAAGCUGGGGUCAUGGAGCUUGAACAGCAUAUUAAUAGUUCUGGGAAUUUGGAUGGUGUUCAUACAGUGACUCUUAAGGAUGGAACAAAGGUUUCUGCACCAGAUGCUUCAAGAAUUGCAUAUGAAGAUGAGCCAAGGCUGAUGUUGUUACAAGAAUGGAAUUUGUUUGAUUCAAUGCUGUGCUCUUCAUACAUGGCGACCAAAUUGAAGACGUGGAAUGACAAUGGGAUGAAAAAGCUUAUGCUGCUUCUUGCUCAAAUGGGAUUUUCUCUUGAAGAGUGCAAACAGAAAUUUCAGUACAUGAGCAUUGAGAUCAAGCGUAAAAUGAAGGGUAUGUUUGAGCAUUUUCUUCCUGAGUACGGCCUUACUGAUUUUUACUAUCGAGGUUUCUUGCUUUUACAUGGGUAUAGUUCAAAGAUAUCUGCAGCUGAUGUUGUGUACGGAGUUACAGCCCUCUUAGAGUCUUCAGUAGAAUCAGAUGGCUCUUGUGCUUCCAAACAGUUCGGGGUGGCAUAUGAUUCCUUGUCCUUAAACAAACUUGAUAUGCUGGCCAGUGGAAUGCAACAUGCUAUCAAGAUACAAAGGGCAAUUCUUAGACAAGGAAGCACAGCUAUUACUAGGAAGGGUUCAAUCCGAAGUGGUAGUAAAUUCAGGUGGGUAAAACUUGAAGAUUCAUCUGACGCAAAACUUUUGGGAUAUCCUCAGGCUUUGACAAAAUUCGGGUACUUUCUAAUGGAUGCUUUGCGGGAGAAGGGAGCAACGUUGAAACCUCUGAUAUGUGUUUGCUAUACUCAUGAGAGAACUAAGGUACUGAUGGUUGGAGUUUGUGGGAAGCCUCGACUUGGGGCAAUCCAAGGGAAUGCAUUCGGGAUUGCUUUCAGAAAUGCUGCUGAGGAGACUGGAGCUGAGUUCUUUCAUGAGCUAUUUGAAUCCUCGUGGCUGGUUUUGGAUGCAGUUGCUGUAAAUUCAUUCAUGAUUAGGUUAACAGAGAAGCUUUGGUGAAGGAAGUCACUUAAAAGCUUAUUUAGAUCAACUGUUUCACUUUAUAUUUAAAAGGCAGGAUGAUGGGAGCCAGGGUGGCGAGUCAUUCUGGGGUUGUAACAGCGGAGCUAGCAGAAGCGUUAGCCUUCAAGAAGCUUUAAGCCGGAUAAAAUCGAAGCAUUGGAACAAAGUUUUGGUGGAAAGUGGAAACUGACUGCAUUAUGGUGGUGCAAGACUGCAACUCUGCAAGCACAUGGCAGCUUAGAGCAUCUCCAACCAGUACUAAACUGUUAGCUAUAUCCAACGUGGCAGAACAUAUAGCUAAUGAAAAAACAAAAAACCCUCUCCAACCCAUGUCUGUAACUAAAAAAACUUUUAGAUAAUCAGACUUGGUUCUCCAUAUUUACAAUCCGCUAUAGAUCUGUAAGGUGAUCCACGUCAUCUCCCUCCAUUUUCCAUCUCCCCUCCCCCACACCUUCCCACCAGUUU